UACGGGGGGGCAAGCGUUGUUCGGAAUUCCUGGGCGUAAAGGGCUCGUAGGCGGCCAACUAAGUCAGACGUGAAAUCCCUCGGCUUAACCGGGGAACUGCAUCCGAUACUGGAUGGCUUGAAUCCGGGAGAGGGAUGCAGAAUUCCAGGUGUAGCGGUGAAAUGCGUAGAUAUCUGGAGGAAUACCGGUGGCGAAGGCGGCAUCCUGGACCGGCAUUGACGCUGAUGAGCGAAAGCUAGGGGAGCAAACGGG
rnacentral:rRNA from 1 species